rnacentral:rRNA from 1 species
UACGAAGGGUGCUAGCGUUGUUCGGAAUCACUGGGCGUAAAGCGCGCGUAUGCGGCUAUUCAAGUCAGGGGUGAAAUCCUGAGGCUCAACCUCAGAAUUGCCUUUGAAACUGUAUAGCUAGAGUGUCGGAGGGGAUAGCGGAAUUCCUAAUGUAGAGGUGAAAUUCGUAGAUAUUAGGAGGAACACCGGUGGCGAAGGCGGCUAUCUGGACGACAACUGACGCUGAGGCGCGAAAGCGUGGGUAUCAAACAGG